UAAAGUUUGAGAACCCCUGCUCUUUGUCGACUGGAGAGAGCUCUCCCAUCGGCUUAGUAAUCUACCUCCCUGAAAGGCGGUAGCUAUGUCAGUGACAAGCUCUGCUGUUGACAGAGUGUUGUUUACAUGGGUUAGGUUGGUAUAACUGUCAUUCAGGGGACUGGAUUUUUCACACACCUGAGUGAUGUCCUUAUACCGUCUAGGUCUGUGGUGUAGACUAGACCCCCAGAGCAUGGAGUUGCAUCCCUGACCAUCUUGAUUAAUAGCCAUUGAUGGACCUAUCCUUCAUGAACUUAUCCAUUUCUUUUUUGAACCCAGUUAUAUUUUUGGCCUUCACAACAUCCCCUGGCAACGAGUUCCACAGGUUGACUGCAUUGGAUGAAAUACUUCCUUGUGUUUGUUUUAAAUCUGCUGCCUAUUAAUUUCAUUGGGUGACCCUUAGUUCUUGUGUUAUGGGAAGAGGUAAAUAUCACUUUUUCUCCACACCAUUAACAAUUUUAUAGGCCUCUAUCAUAUCCCCUCUGAACAGGCCCAAUCUUUUUAAUUUCCCCUCAUAUGGAAUCUCUUCCUUCCCCCAAUCAUUUUUGUUGCUCUUCUCUGUACCUUUUCCAAUUCUAAAAUACAUUUUUUGAGGUGGGGCACCAGAACUGCAUACAGUAUUCAAGGUGUGGAUGUACCAUGGAUUUAUAUAUAUGCCUGUUCAAGUAUGAUGAAGGAAAAAAUCCAUCAAGUUAUAGACCUACCUUCUGCAUGAGAUACAUACCAACAUGCAGGUGUUGCAUCCCCUCCCUUUUUCGAUGCUGGGAAAUGUUUUGCAGCUAUGACCGUCAAUGAGAGAUGGGCCAGAACUGUAACCUUAGAUCCAAACCCCUGGCUUUAUCGGUGUGGAGCAUCUCAAAGGGUUUGGGUUUAAAUCUCCAGAUUCAAAGCCAUAUCUUUUCUUGAUUCUGAAUUGGGUCAAAAUGGGAAGAUGCCUCUUUCUGACCUGGAUGUGACUAAGAUCUUGCAAAAAUGGCUGUUCUUAGGGGAUUACAGCCAUUUUGGCCAAAUCACAUGAGAACAUCUUACAAGAUUUAAGCACAGUCUACCCACCACUCAACUGCAAGCCCCGAUUCAGCCUCAGACAAACAGUGACCUUUAGUCCCAAAUCUAUUCACAUCUGGACCCAGCUCUAAAUAUGGUCUCCUUGACCUGUUACUAAAAUCACUUCAUUAAAAGGAGAGUUUGCGCAAAAUAGCAUUCUCAACCAGCUAGAAAGAAGUUGGCUGAUGAUGGAGACUAUCCAGAGGUCAUUCUGUCACCUCCUAGAAGAUGUGGCUGGGUGGGGAGGGCACCCAGGAUAGCUCUUAAGAGCUCAGAAAGUUGUGAGUUUCUUUCCCCAG
rnacentral:lncRNA from 1 species